rnacentral:tRNA from 1 species
UUGAAGCCGUGGGCGAAGGCCAGUACCGCGCCUUGCUUGGCGUGCGGGGCGAUGUUUUCGUUGUAGACCUGGGCGAUGUUCUCGUCCGGCAGCAAA